rnacentral:rRNA from 1 species
GAUGAACGCUGGCGGCGUGCUUAACACAUGCAAGUCGAACGGAAAGGCUCCUGCUUGCAGGGGUACUCGAGUGGCGAACGGGUGAGUAACACGUGGGUGAUCUGCCCUGCACUUCGGGAUAAGUCUGGGAAACUGGGUCUAAUACCGGAUAGGACGAUGGUUUGGAUGCCAUUGUGGAAAGUUUUUCGGUGUGGGAUGAGCUCGCGGCCUAUCAGCUUGUUGGUGGGGUAAUGGCCUACCAAGGCGUCGACGGGUAGCCGGCCUGAGAGGGUGUACGGCCACAUUGGGACUGAGAUACGGCCCAGACUCAUACGGGAGGCAGCAGUGGGGAAUAUUGCACAAUGGGCGCAAGCCUGAUGCAGCGACGCCGCGUGGGGGAUGACGGCCUUCGGGUUGUAAACUCCUUUCGCUAGGGACGAAGCGCAAGUGACGGUACCUGGAGAAGAAGCACCGGCUAACUACGUG